rnacentral:rRNA from 1 species
UCCAGGGGGCGAAUAGCUCGACGAGUCGGGGUAUGACGGUACCCUGGGAAUAAGCAUCGGCUAACUCCGUGCCAGCAGCCGCGGUAAUACGGAGGAUGCAAGCGUUAUCCGGAUUUAUUGGGUUUAAAGGGUGCGUAGGCGGAAAAAUAAGUCAGUGGUGAAAACGUGCAGCUUAACUGUGGAACUGCCAUUGAUACUGUUAUUCUUGAGUAUGGUCAAGGUAGGCGGAAUGUGUAAUGUAGCGGUGAAAUGCUUAGAUAUUACACAGAACACCGAUUGCGAAGGCAGCUUACUGGGCCAUUACUGACGCUGAUGCACGAAAGCGUGGGGAGCGAACAGGAUUAGAUACCCUGGUAGUCCACGCCGUAAACGAUGAUCACUCGCUGUUAGCGAUACACAGUUAGCGGCUAAGCAAAAGCAUUAAGUGAUCCACCUGGGGAGUACGGCCGCAAGGCUGAAACUCAAAGGAAUUGACGGGGGCCCGCACAAGCGGAGGAACAUGUGGUUUAAUUCGAUGAUACGCGAGGAACCUUACCUGGGCUUAAAUGUAGAGUGCAUUCUGCCGAAAGGCGGAUUUUCUUCGGAACUCUUUGCAAGGUGCUGCAUGGUUGUCGUCAGCUCGUGCCGUGAGGUGUCGGGUUAAGUCCCAUAACGAGCGCAACCCUUAUCGUUAGUUGCCAGCGGGUAAAGCCGGGAACUCUAGCGAAACUGCCGGUGUAAACCGAGAGGAAGGUGGGGAUGACGUCAAAUCAGCACGGCCCUUAUGUCCAGGGCUACACACGUGUUACAAUGGCCGGUACAGAGGGGAGCUAUGCUGUGAGGCAAUGCGAAUCUCAAAAGCCGGUCUCAGUUCGGAUCGGAGUCUGCAACUCGACUCCGUGAAGCUGGAUUCGCUAGUAAUCACGCAUCAGCCAUGGCGCGGUGAAUACGUUCCCGGGCCUUGUACACACCGCCCGU